AAAAAAGAGGAGGAUGAUGACAAAAAUGAUGGAACUUCUCCAUUCACUUACCAUGUCUUUAUUUAUUAGUAGUACAGACAACAUCAUUCUACUGCAGGGCGCCUUUUUUAUGUCUUUGUCUAUAAUCAAGAUUUUCUCCACCGUUGUGUUGUGUUCCGGGGCUCUCUGUCCUAUUGGUGGGGUUGCCUGCGCGCCGUUCUACAUAUUACCACCAGAAGGCGACAGGUUUCGGAUGGAGCGCGGUGACGUCAUUAUUUUCCCCAGCUGCUCCCGAUCACCUUCAUCAGCGGAGCAGUCAUAGGAGUGGGCCGUCAGUCCAACGUCGCCUGAGUGUUGUGCCAGUCACGGUUGCCCGAGUUCCCAGACUCACCUCUCUGCUGUUUGCAAAUCUCCUCUGGACUCCACGGCUGGCGGCCGUUCCACUCCUCCGUGUCUCCGUUUCACCCGAGCCUGCCUGUCCGCUCCCCGCCGCACUCCUCCGCUGUUCCUGGAUCCAUUAGGGACCGAGACCCCGGACCAACCCAGUUUCCCUCCACAACUCUGCUCCAACAACCACAAUGAACUGUUGCUACCAUUACUGUUUAUUCCCCUGGACCAGACCACCCCGACUCUCUCUCUUUGAUUAUUGUGUGAUCUUUAAUAAAUCAUUUAAAACUGA